CUACGAGGCGAUGGGGCGGAGGCGGACACUAUGAAGGACCGACUGGGCUAUUGGGCACACUGGAGAGCUGCCUGCCAAUCAACCCCGUGAGGGCGGGGCCGGGCUCUCUUUUUGGGGCAGGAUCUGUUGUCGCCCAAAACGGCUGGAUCCGCAGGCUGCUGGAGUCGUCUGUGCUAGAAAAAGGCUGGGGGCGCCGGAGGUACAGAGAAACUUUGAAGUUUCUGAUUGGGAAAAAAGACCUUUGAAGAGCGAGGCUGGAAAUGCAGUCUCGCUGUGUACUUCAGGCUGUUCUUGAACUUGCUGUGUAGCCCAGGCUGGCCUCGAACUCUCGGCCAUCCUCCUGCCUCACCCUCCCAAGGACUGGGAUUUCAGGUGUGCACCCCACGUCCGGCCAGAAUCUAUUUUUAAAACUACGAUUAAAAUAAUUUCGGACAAAAAAAUAAUUUCGGACACCCAAAUAUGUUUAAUUUGUCUUCCGUCACAGCAGAAUUGCACAUAGUUAACUUUGAAUUGGUGAAGUCAGGGUUGGACCAACUUCUACAGCAACAACUUAGUUUUAUUAUUUUUACAUUUAAAUGUAUCAUGAGGCUAAAGCAAGCAGAUUUCUUUGUCACUAUUCACAAUGACUUUUAUGAAGAGUUGUUUCACUACUUUACAAUAAAUUCAAAUUGCCAGGGAAAAGAUGCUA